rnacentral:rRNA from 1 species
AUUGAACGCUGGCGGCAUGCCUUACACAUGCAAGUCGAACGGCAGCACGGGAGCAAUCCUGGUGGCGAGUGGCGAACGGGUGAGUAAUAUAUCGGAACGUGCCCAGUCGUGGGGGAUAACGUAGCGAAAGCUACGCUAAUACCGCAUACGAUCUAUGGAUGAAAGCGGGGGAUCGCAAGACCUCGCGCGAUUGGAGCGGCCGAUAUCAGAUUAGGUAGUUGGUGAGGUAAAGGCUCACCAAGCCGACGAUCUGUAGCUGGUCUGAGAGGACGACCAGCCACACUGGGACUGAGACACGGCCCAGACUCCUACGGGAGGCAGCAGUGGGGAAUUUUUGGACAAUGGGCGCAAGUCUGAUCCAGCCAUUCCGCGUGCAGGAUGAAGGCCCUCGGGUUGUAAACUGCUUUUGUACGGAACGAAAAGGUUUGUCUUAAUACGAUGAGCUCAUGACGGUACCGUAAGAAUAAGC